CAAAACCCUAAUAAUUUCUUCCAAAACCUUAAUCAUCUACCUCUUCCACCCUUUCUCGCAUGCCUUUCUAUCUUUUGUCGAUUUCAAUCUUUCACUUACUCUUUUUAGUUGUAUCUUUAUCAUAUUUGCUUAAUUAAUUACCUAAUCUAUGAACGACACAAUCAUAUGUGUUCUUUUUAAUGUUGUAUCUUAUUGGUUGCAGAUCCACUGAUAAUCAAGGAAUGCUAUUGACGCAGAUGAAUCGUGUUUGUUUUCAGCAAAAAACUAGGAUCGGAACGCAGAACUCGAUCAUUGAGAAAGCUUUUAAGGUAUAAUUGGUUAAAAAAAAAGGCCGAAUUGAAGCCUUGAUGACAAAAGCCAAAAAUUACCCAAGUAAUGCCUAAGAUCAAAGUUUGUGUGAUGCCCGAUUUACAACUUUAGAAAGGGUUCGCUGAAUUGUUUCCUUUGUUCAAGUAUAAUUGUCAGUUCUAAUAUUGUCAGUCAAAAUGACUAAUGAAGAGUUGUUGAAUACUAAAGCGGGAUUGGAACGAGUUGUUGCAAAAGGAACAUUUAUAAGUUUGGCAUCCACCUUCCCUGUAACCAUCUCCAACAUGUUUGAUUCUAUUAUACAAAAAAGUUCUUCUC